rnacentral:rRNA from 1 species
CCUACGGGAGGCAGCAGUGGGGAAUAUUGCACAAUGGGGGAAACCCUGAUGCAGCGACGCCGCGUGAGUGAAGAAGUAAUUCGUUAUGUAAAGCUCUAUCAGCAGGGAAGAAAAUGACGGUACCUGAGUAAGAAGCCCCGGCUAACUACGUGCCAGCAGCCGCGGUAAUACGUAGGGGGCAAGCGUUAUCCGGAUUUACUGGGUGUAAAGGGAGCGUAGACGGCAGUGCAAGUCUGGAGUGAAAGGGGGGGGCUCAACCCCCGGACUGCUCUGGAAACUGUACGGCUGGAGUGCAGGAGAGGUAGGUGGAAUUCCUAGUGUAGCGGUGAAAUGCGUAGAUAUUAGGAGGAACACCAGUGGCGAAGGCGGCUUACUGGACUGUAACUGACGUUGAGGCUCGAAAGCGUGGGGAGCAAACAGGAUUAGAUACCCCAGUAGUC